rnacentral:rRNA from 1 species
AUUGAACGCUGGCGGCAGGCCUAACACAUGCAAGUCGAGCGGAUGAAGCGAGCUUGCUCCUGGAUUCAGCGGUGGCCGGGUGAGUAAUGCCUAUGAAUUUGCCUGGUCUUGGGGGAUAACGUCCUGAUACGGGCGCUAAUACUGCAUACGUCCUGUGGGCGCAUGUGGGUGAUCUUCCGACCUCACGCCAUCAUAUUAGCCUAGGUCGCAUCAGCUAGUAGGUGGGGUAAAGGCCUACCAAGGCGACGAUGCGUAACUGGUCUGAGAGGAUGAUCAGUCACACGGGAACUGAGACACGGUACAGACUCCGGCGGGGGGCAGCGGCGGGGAAUAUUACGGGAUGGGGGAGAGGCUGAUAUAGGAAUGCCGGGGGAGUGAAGAACGUGUACGGAUUGGAGAGCGCUGUAAGUUGGGAGGAAGUAAAGUACGUUAAUACCUGACUAUUAUGACAGUACCGGCAGAAUAAGCACCGGCUAACUUCGUG